rnacentral:lncRNA from 1 species
GAUGCUGUAUUCUCCCUAUUUUUUGUCUAUCAUAUAAGAACAUUCCGGUCAGACAUUAAAACCCCUGCCACAAAAAAAAUAUGCCCGUUUUAUUCAUCAUGUUCAUUUAAUGCCAUACAAUUCUGUUGGAAAUAUUCAUUUCUAAUAGCAAAAAGGUGGACAAGAUUUUUGUUUUCAAUCCAGAUACGGCCAGAAUUUUUCAUAAAGGCCACACCCAGCAGGCAGGUUGCAGUCUGGUCUUGAAAAAAGUAUUCCAUAUAUCAGUU